rnacentral:lncRNA from 1 species
GUUUGAGAUAAUUUCUUGAUAAGAGAAAUGAUGGGUACUUUUGAAAUCUUGAAAUCCCCAUUAAGCCAAAGAGAGAUAGUCUAACAUUGUUUAGUAUAAGAAGAUAAAAAAGAGGGAGGAACAAAACCUGCCAUAGAGUGGGAAAGCAACUAUAUGCUGUCAGCUCGGAGAAAAUUCCCCUGUUCAUAGUCAGAGUGUAGCCCGAGAACACUUUCUUCCUCACUUUCACAACCACUUUCUUCUUCCACACAUCUAACAACUUCCAGCACUAUUCUGAAAGGGGGGAAAGAUGUUCGUCAUUAUGCCAUUUUUAAUUAUUAUCCUGUCAUCAGACUACAGCAAAGGUGAAAUACAGCUGCGUGCUUUCAAACACCAGACAGUGAAUUGCAAUGAGAGGAUUGUCUUACAAUGCAAUAUCAGCUCAUCAACGCCAUUGAACAUUGUUAAAGUAUACUGGAAAAAAACAGAAGAGAAAGAUUUUGAAUGUGAUCCAACAUCCAGCAAUAGACCACCAGGAUUUGAGUGCAACUACACAGGAGAAGCACUGACAUUAACCAUCUCAAAUCCUACACCAGCAAACAUGGGCUCGUAUUUUUGUUGUAUAAAGACGGACUCUGGACAUGGAGCAAAAGAAAUCAAUCUAUCUGUAGGACAAUGCACCGGAGAAUUCUCCCACCAGAUGGCUGAACCCAAACAAAUGCAGUGUAGCUUUAAUGGUAUGUACCCAGAAGGCAUGAUAAACUGGUUUCAUUAUGACAAGAACCUGACUUCCAGCUCUACAGUCACAAGCCUGGUGAACUCUGAUGGAACGUUCAACAUCACAAGUGUCCUAAACAUCCAGGACGAUCAAGAGAGAUAUAAAUGCUCACUGUGGUCACUCAAACACGGACAGUACCAUAAAGAUCAAGAGUUUGAAGUCCCAGUUCAUGCUGAUUCCAGGCCCAUUAGCAGGAUCAGCACACAACAUUGUUUAUCAUGGACUCUUAUCCUUCUUAGCCUGAUGUUGUGUUUGAGAGCCUGUUUGUCUCUAUAAUCUGUACAUGCCAACUCAACCCAACUAUCACAAGACCUGAUGACAUAACCACAGAUCUGGUGGGUUUUAAUAAAUGGAAUUUGCCAAAUAAACUGACCAUCUAAUCAAUAUAGUGGUAGAAUAUUUGCCUGCCAUGUGCUAGAUCUGGAUCUAAUUAAAGACCAGGGAAUAUAAAUCUUGAGUUUUACCUGAAGACAUAGCCACAGGAUAUAGCAGUGAACUGACACCCACAGCUUCUCUUUUACUGAGUUAUGACUGGAUUCAUUUAAGAAAAUGCACUGACAUGAAAAACCCAAACUAUUUCAAACAGCAUUUUGCAAAUGUAUUUAUUCCCAUUCUUUAUGC